UCCUCCGUGGCGCAAUUGGCUAGCGCGUUCGACUGUUAUCUGUCCCAAUACAGAGCAUCGAGAGGUUGACAGUUCAAGCCUGUCCGGGGGAG